GAUCGGGGUUGGUGGUGGUGGUGGAGGAGAGCGGGUGAGAGACAUCGGCGUCUGUCGGACUUUGAGUUUUGAUGGCAGCGGUGGAGCGGGGAUGAACUCCAGUCGAUACCGUGCGCAAGUGCAGCCCUUUGUCAAUCCACUGCUAGAUGGCGGUCCUCCCCCGCCGCGUCGGAUCAUUGGGGUUAUUGCACCAUGAAGGUCGUGCCGUAGCUGAUGUGACAUCGAGUCCUCUCCAACAUCAUCAGCAACAUCGUCGUGUAAACAUAGAGCAACGUAACCACACACUCUGAUAAAAAAAAUCCCAACCCCUGACCCUGCCUCAUCCCUGACCCACCACUCCUCCCCCACGCCUCCCCCUACCUCGAACAAUGCAUUUCGCUCAGCUCCCUCUUCCAAAGGCCACCCUCACCUCCCUCUACCCCUCAUCCCCUGCCUCCAUCCUCCACCUUCGCCCUCCUUUAGUCAUCCAUUGUGACAAGAGCUGCAAUGAUGCAUCGAAUGAUCGAUGAAUAUUGAUCGGUAGGUUCACGAUACAACCGUGCGUGAUAAUCGACUUUUUUUCUAUUCAUAAACGUAGUAGGUAAUUGGUUCACGUGAAUAGCGCGUAGAUUUGUGGCCAUGGAUGGAAUCGUCCGGUCGAGAAUCGGCCAACCUCUACCAGAGAUCCUCAGCCCGAUCACCGCCAUCACCACCAUCACCACCACCACCGCACCUACCAGCUCCACCACCAGCAGCACCGCUACCUCCACGAUAACGAUCAUCGUUGCCAUCAGCACCACCACCAUCAGUACACCUUGCACUGAGAAAACAGAGCACCCAGCACAGAGCACCCUGCACAAGAACGCCGUCCACGGGAACGCCCUGCACAAGGACGCCCUGCACAGGAACACCCCGCGCAGAACGCCCUGCAAAGAGCGUCCUGCACAGGAGCACCCUGCACAGAACGCCUUGCACACAGGGCACCCUGCACAAUGGCACCCUGCAUACGAGCUUGACGCACAGAGCUCCCUGGCGUGGCUGUGGAGUGUGACUAUGGUGUUUGCGUUCUCGUCUGCGUCCAAACGCCAUCCUCACACCACGCAGCCCCGGCACGGAUUCCCCUCCUCCUCGUCAUCGUCGACAUCGUCGUCAUCGAUGGUGUCGUUGUUCAGCCGUCGGGAGUUUUAGCAGUGAUCGAUAUUCGCCGCUGAGCCGGUUUGGAACGAGUUCACGGUUCGAUUCGUGCUACAGGCGUCGUGGUGAUUUCUGCAGGAGCCGGAGUUGAUGAAUUGUAUUGUUUGUUAAUUAUUGAUGAGAAUAUUUAACGUAGAAACUCGGAGCGUAGAGACGGAACAUCUCGCUUGCACGGGGGGUCCAGGGUGGCGAGUGACACCUGCAUGGGCCGACACGUAAAGACACGCGUACAAGCAUUUUACAUUCAGAGACCUCUCUGUGUGCUGUGAAGAAGGAUCAUUGCCUGGAACGUCGCCCGUUAUAUACGUGUUUUCUUUUCAAGCCAUUAUAACGCAGCUCUGUUGCUGUUCCCAAUGCCUCCUUCACGUAUUCGUCUCUCCGCGUAAAACGAAAAUAAUAAAAAAAUAUUUUCUUGCAAAGCCCA